rnacentral:rRNA from 1 species
CAUUUAAAGUGGUACGCGAGCUGGGUUUAGAACGUCGUGAGACAGUUCGGUCCCUAUCUGCCGUGGGCGCUGGAGAAUUGAGGGGGGCUGCUCCUAGUACGAGAGGACCGGAGUGGACGCAUCACUGGUGUUCGGGUUGUCAUGCCAAUGGCACUGCCCGGUAGCUAAAUGCGGAAGAGAUAAGUGCUGAAAGCAUCUAAGCACGAAACUUGCCCCGAGAUGAGUUCUCCCUGACUCCUUGAGAGUCCUGAAGGAACGUUGAAGACGACGACGUUGAUAGGCCGGGUGUGUAAGCGCAGCGAUGCGUUGAGCUAACCGGUACUAAUGAACCGUGAGGCUUAACCUU